GAUGAACGCUGGCGGCGUGCCUAAUACAUGCAAGUCGAGCGAACAGACGAGGAGCUUGCUCCUCUGACGUUAGCGGCGGACGGGUGAGUAACACGUGGAUAACCUACCUAUAAGACUGGGAUAACUUCGGGAAACCGGAGCUAAUACCGGAUAAUAUAUUGAACCGCAGGGUUCAAUAGUGAAAGACGGUUUUGCUGUCACUAAUAGAUGGAUCCGCGCCGCAUUAGCUAGUUGGUAAGGUAACGGCUUACCAAGGCAACGAUGCGUAGCCGACCUGAGAGGGUGAUCGGCCACACUGGAACUGAGACACGGUCCAGACUCCUACGGGAGGCAGCAGUAGGGAAUCUUCCGCAAUGGGCGAAAGCUUGACGGAGCAACGCCGCGUGAGUGAUGAAGGUCUUCGGAUCGUAAAACUCUGUUAUUAGGGAAGAACAAAUGUGUAAGUAACUAUGCACGUCUUGACGGUACCUAAUCAGAAAGCCACGGCUAACUACGUG
rnacentral:rRNA from 1 species